rnacentral:rRNA from 1 species
GAUGAACGCUGGCGGCGUGCCUAAUACAUGCAAGUCGAGCGAACGGACGAGAAGCUUGCUUCUCUGAUGUUAGCGGCGGACGGGUUAGUAACACGUUGAUAACCUACCUAUAAGACUGUGAUAACUUCGGGAAACCGUAGCUAAUACCGGAUAAUAUUUUGAACCUCAUGGUUCAAAAGUGAAAGACGGUCUUGCUGUCACUUAUAGAUGGAUCCGCGCUGCAUUAGCUAGUUGGUAAGGUAACGGCUUACCAAGGCAACGAUGCAUAGCCGACCUGAGAGGGUGAUCGGCCACACUGGAACUGAGACACGGUCCAGACUCCUACGGGAGGCAGCAGUAGGGAAUCUUCCGCAAUGGGCGAAAGCAUGACGGAGCAACGCCGCGUGAGUGAUGAAGGUCUUCGGAUCGUAAAACUCUGUUAUUAGGGAAGAACAGAUGUGUAAGUAAAUGUGCACAUCUUGACGGUACCUAAUCAGAAAGCAACGGCUAACUACGUG